rnacentral:lncRNA from 1 species
GGCAUUGGAGUGUAGACUAUAGAAACCACUGCACCUGCAUGUACCGUAUUUCGCUUUCAACCGGGAAAGGUUUAUUGGAAAGGUCCGGACUGGUCUGGGCGCAUUCUCUGAAAUAUAACGGAGAUGCCACGGUUACGCGUAGAAGCCACUCGACGAAGAGACAGGUGCGAUGGAGAGGCUUGAUGGAGGGGCUUGAUGUUAGGCUAGCUGCGGGGAUAGCGGUUCUCAACAAGUGCCCGUGCUGUGCUGCCAUGACGACCAUGGCCCCUCCCCUCAUGUUUCUCCUCCUGCUCCUUCAAUUGGCUCACAGCUCUUUCCCAGAGGAGCCCGGUCCUCUAAGCUAUGCUCCCUUAGAGGUGGUGAGGAGGUAUCCUGUGUUUGUGGGUAGAGCUCAUCGUUCCUCACAGAGACAGGAGCUGCACAUUCACACAGUGCUCCAGGUGAACCGCACACUCUACAUAGGAGCCAGGUAACCAACAACAUCAACAUUCACCUCUCAGCCAUAGUCCUUACCACACCCCUAACAAUCCUCACUUCUAUCUUUCAGCAGUUAUGUCGACUGGUUUCUGAUAAGGUCACUGUUAAACCAUUUUGAUCCACUCUGCUCUCCCCCUGUUUCUCUCCCCUCCUGAUGUAUAUUCCAGAGAUGAUCUAUAUAGAGUGGAGCUGGACAAUAUGUCAGGGGACGAAAUAUUCUACAGCAAGGUGCGACACACACACACACACACACACACACGCUAACUGUAUAACCGCACUGGUAUCACAUACACCUGAUUAAAUCAUACCCCAGUGUGAUAACCCUCCGGUCAUGUCAUUUUGUGUUCUUCUGCUAGAAGCGGACGUGGGAAUCCAAUAAGAAUGACAUUCGAGUCUGUAGGAUGAAGGGAAAACAUGAGGUUAGUUCCCGUCCCUGUGUCAGCCGACAUGUGUCAGCCUACACACACCCAACACUCCCAACA